UGGGGAAUAUUGCGCAAUGGGCGAAAGCCUUACGCAGCGACGCCGCGUGUGGGAUGAAGGUUUUCGGAUCGUAAACCUCUUUCAGAAGGGAAGAAACCGCACUGUGCUAAUCAGCAGUGCCUUGACGGUACCUUCAAAGGAAGCACCGGCUAACUCCGUGCCAGCAGCCGCGGUAAUACGGAGGGUGCAAGCGUUAAUCGGAAUUACUGGGCGUAAAGCGCACGUAGGCUGUUUUGUAAGUCAGGGGUGAAAUCCCACGGCUCAACCGUGGAACUGCCUUGGAUACUGCAUAGCUUGAAUCCGGGAGAGGGUGGAGGAAUUCCAGGUGUAGGAGUGAAAUCCGUAGAGAUCUGGAGGAACACCAGUGGCGAAGGCGGCCACCUGGACCGGUAUUGACGCUGAGGGGCGAAAGCGUGGGGAGCAAAAAGG
rnacentral:rRNA from 1 species